AUUGAACGCUGGCGGCAUGCUUUACACAUGCAAGUCGAACGGCAGCGCGGGCUUCGGCCUGGCGGCGAGUGGCGAACGGGUGAGUAAUGCAUCGGAACGUGCCCAGUAGUGGGGGAUAGCCCGGCGAAAGCCGGAUUAAUACCGCAUACGACCUGAGGGUGAAAGCGGGGGACCGAAAGGCCUCGCGCUAUUUGAGGGGCCGAUGUCGGAUUAGCUAGUUGGUGGGGUAAAGGCUUACCAAGGCGACGAUCCGUAGCUGGUCUGAGAGGACGACCAGCCACACUGGGACUGAGACACGGCCCAGACUCCUACGGGAGGCAGCAGUGGGGAAUUUUGGACAAUGGGGGCAACCCUGAUCCAGCCAUGCCGCGUGCGGGAAGAAGGCCUUCGGGUUGUAAACCGCUUUUGUUCGGGAAGAAAUCCUCUGGGCUAAUACCCCGGGGGGAUGACGGUACCGGAAGAAUAAGCACCGGCUAACUACGUG
rnacentral:rRNA from 1 species